rnacentral:misc_RNA from 1 species
CUGCUUAUCACUUUCUACCUUUCUUUAUAUUUUCACAAAGGUAAAGACGCCAACAUUAGAAAAGUGAUAUAUUCUCAUAUUCGUAUAUUACAGCAAUAAGUCUCACCCUCCCAAAAAAAAACCCAAACUUUGAUAUAGAAUCGGUCUCUGCUCUACUUCAACUGCCCACCCACCAAAAAAUCUUUCCUUUCUGCUUCGCAAAUCACACCCG